rnacentral:rRNA from 1 species
GUGCCAGCAGCCGCGGUAAUUCCAGCUCCAAUAGCGUAUAUUAAAGUUGUUGUGGUUAAAAAGCUCGUAGUUGAACCUUGGGCCUGGCUGGCCGGUCCGCCUCACCGCGUGCACUGGUCCGGCCGGGCCUUUCCCUCUGUGGAACCCCAUACCCUUCACUGGGCGUGGCGGGGAAACAGGACAUUUACUUUGAAAAAAUUAGAGUGCUCCAGGCAGGCCUAUGCUCGAAUACAUUAGCAUGGAAUAAUAAAAUAGGACGCGCGGUUCUAUUUUGUUGGUUUAUAGGACCGCCGUAAUGAUUAAUAGGGACAGUCGGGGGCAUCAGUAUUCAACUGUCAGAGGUGAAAUUCUUGGAUCAGUUGAAGACUAACUACUGCGAAAGCAUUUGCCAAGGAUGUUUUCAUUAAUCAGGAACGAAAGUUAGGGGAUCGAAGACGAUCAGAUACCGUCGUAGUCUUAACCAUAAACUAUGCCGACUAGGGAUCGGACGGUGUUAUUCAUGACCCGUUCGGCACCUUACGAGAAAUCAAAGUGCUUGGGCUCCAGGGGGAGUAUGGUCGCAAGGCUGAAACUUAAAGAAAUUGACGGAAGGGCACCACCAGGGGUGGAGCCUGCGGCUUAAUUUGACUCAACACGGGGAAACUCACCAGGUCCAGACACAAUAAGGAUUGACAGAUUGAGAGCUCUUUCUUGAUUUUGUGGGUGGUGGUGCAUGGCCGUUCUUAGUGGUGGGGUGACUUGUCUGCUUAAUUGCGAUAACGAACGAGACCUUAACCUGCUAAAUAGCCCGCAUUGCUCCGGCAGUGCGCUGGCUUCUUAGAGGGACUUUCCGGCUCAAGCCGAAGGAAGUUUGAGCC